rnacentral:rRNA from 1 species
UACAGAGGGUGCGAGCGUUAAUCGGAAUUACUGGGCGUAAAGCGUGCGUAGACGGUUAUUUAAGUCGGAUGUGAAAGCCCCGGGCUCAACCUGGGAAUUGCAUUCGAGACUGAAUAGCUAGGGUACGGUAGAGGGAAGUGGAAUUUCCGGUGUAGCGGUGAAAUGCGUAGAUAUCGGAAGGAACAUCAGUGGCGAAAGCGACUUCCUGGACCAGUACCGACGUCAGGCACGAAAGCGUGGGGAGCAAACAGG